UGGGGAAUAUUGCACAAUGGGCGCAAGCCUGAUGCAGCCAUGCCGCGUGUAUGAAGAAGGCCUUCGGGUUGUAAAGUACUUUCAGCGGGGAGGAAGGGAGUAAAGUUAAUACCUUUGCUCAUUGACGUUACCCGCAGAAGAAGCACCGGCUAACUCCGUGCCAGCAGCCGCGGUAAUACGGAGGGUGCAAGCGUUAAUCGGAAUUACUUGGCGUAAAGCGCACGCAGGCGGUUUGUUAAGUCAGAUGUAAAAUCCCCGGGCUCAACCUGGGAACUGCAUCUGAAACUGGCAAGCUUGUGUCUCGUAGAGGGGGGUAGAAUUCAAGGUGUGGCAGUGAAAUGCGUAGAGAUCUGGAGGAAUAACGGUGGCGAAGGCGGCCCCCUGGACGAAGACUGACGCUCAGGUGCGAAAGAGUGGGGAGCAAACAGG
rnacentral:rRNA from 1 species